AGAGUUUGAUCCUGGCUCAGGACGAACGCUGGCGGCGUGCUUAACACAUGCAAGUCGAACGGAAAGGCCCUUCGGGGUACUCGAGUGGCGAACGGGUGAGUAACACGUGGGUGAUCUGCCCUGCACUUUGGGAUAAGCCUGGGAAACUGGGUCUAAUACCGAAUAUGACCAUGCGCCUCCUGGUGUGUGGUGGAAAGCUUUUGCGGUGUGGGAUGGGCCCGCGGCCUAUCAGCUUGUUGGUGGGGUAAUGGCCUACCAAGGCGACGACGGGUAGCCGGCCUGAGAGGGUGACCGGCCACACUGGGACUGAGAUACGGCCCAGACUCCUACGGGAGGCAGCAGUGGGGAAUAUUGCACAAUGGGCGCAAGCCUGAUGCAGCGACGCCGCGUGAGGGAUGACGGCCUUCGGGUUGUAAACCUCUUUCAGCACAGACGAAGCGUGAGUGACGGUAUGUGCAGAAGAAGGACCGGCCAACUACGUGCCAGCAGCCGCGGUAAUACGUAGGGUCCGAGCGUUGUCCGGAAUUACUGGGCGUAAAGAGCUCGUAGGUGGUUUGUCGCGUUGUUCGUGAAAACUCACAGCUUAACUGUGGGCGUGCGGGCGAUACGGGCAGACUUGAGUACUGCAGGGGAGACUGGAAUUCCUGGUGUAGCGGUGGAAUGCGCAGAUAUCAGGAGGAACACCGGUGGCGAAGGCGGGUCUCUGGGCAGUAACUGACGCUGAGGAGCGAAAGCGUGGGGAGCGAACAGGAUUAGAUACCCUGGUAGUCC
rnacentral:rRNA from 1 species